rnacentral:rRNA from 1 species
GGGGAAACGACAUCGAAAGCUUGCUUUUGAUGGGCGUCGACCGGCGCACGGGUGAGUAACGCGUAUCCAACCUGCCCACCACUUGGGGAUAACCUUGCGAAAGUAAGACUAAUACCCAAUGACGUCUCUAGAAGACAUCUGAAGGAGAUUAAAGAUUUAUCGGUGAUGGAUGGGGAUGCGUCUGAUUAGCUUGUUGGCGGGGUAACGGCCCACCAAGGCUACGAUCAGUAGGGGUUCUGAGAGGAAGGUCCCCCACAUUGGAACUGAGACACGGUCCAAACUCCUACGGGAGGCAGCAGUGAGGAAUAUUGGUCAAUGGACGAGAGUCUGAACCAGCCAAGUAGCGUGCAGGAUGACGGCCCUAUGGGUUGUAAACUGCUUUUAUAAGGGAAUAAAGUGAGUCUCGUGAGACUUUUUGCAUGUACCUUAUGAAUAAGGACCGGCUAAUUCCGUGCCAGCAGCCGCGGUAAUACGGAAGGUCCGGGCGUUAUCCGGAUUUAUUGGGUUUAAAGGGAGCGUAGGCCGGAGAUUAAGCGUGUUGUGAAAUGUAGAUGCUCAACAUCUGAACUGCAGCGCGAACUGGUUUCCUUGAGUACGCACAAAGUGGGCGGAAUUCGUGGUGUAGCGGUGAAAUGCUUAGAUAUCACGAAGAACUCCGAUUGCGAAGGCAGCUCACUGGAGCGCAACUGACGCUGAAGCUCGAAAGUGCGGGUAUCGAACAGGAUUAGAUACCCUGGUAGUCCGCACGGUAAACGAUGGAUGCCCGCUGUUGGUCUGAAUAGGUCAGCGGCCAAGCGAAAGCAUUAAGCAUCCCACCUGGGGAGUACGCCGGCAACGGUGAAACUCAAAGGAAUUGACGGAAGG